UGGGGAAUUUUGGACAAUGGGCGCAAGCCUGAUCCAGCCAUGCCGCGUGCGGGAAGAAGGCCUUCGGGUUGUAAACCGCUUUUGUCAGGGAAGAAAUCUUCUGAGUUAAUACCUCGGGAGGAUGACGGUACCUGAAGAAUAAGCACCGGCUAACUACGUGCCAGCAGCCGCGGUAAUACGUAGGGUGCAAGCGUUAAUCGGAAUUACUGGGCGUAAAGCGUGCGCAGGCGGUUUUGUAAGACAGAGGUGAAAUCCCCGGGCUCAACCUGGGAACUGCCUUUGUGACUGCAAGGCUUGAGUGCGGCAGAGGGGGGAUGGAAUUCCGCGUGUAGCAGUGAAAUGCGUAGAUAUGCGGAGGAACACCGAUGGCGAAGGCAAUCCCCUGGGCCUGCACUGACGCUCAUGCACGAAAGCGUGGGGAGCAAAACAGGAUUAGAUACCCUGGUAGUCCACGCCCUAAACGAUGUCAACUGGUUGUUGGGAAGGUUCCUCCUCAGUAACGUAGCUAACGCGUGAAGUUGACCGCCUGGGGAGUACGGCCGCAAGGUUGAAACUCAAAUGAAUUGACGGGGUCAUAGCUGUUUCC
rnacentral:rRNA from 1 species